rnacentral:rRNA from 1 species
UACGUAGGGGGCUAGCGUUGUCCGGAUUUAUUGGGCGUAAAGAGCGUGUAGGCGGCCAGGUAGGUCUGGUGUGAAAACUCGAGGCUCAACCUCGAGAUGUCAUCGGAAACCAUCUGGCUAGAGUCCGGAAGAGGAGAGUGGAAUUCCUGGUGUAGCGGUGAAAUGCGCAGAUAUCAGGAAGAACACCUAUGGCGAAAGCAGCUCUCUGGGACGGUACUGACGCUGAGACGCGAAAGCGUGGGGAGCGAACAGGAUUAGAAACCCGGGUAGU